UUGUCGUCGCCUCACAUUCUGCAGCCGCAACGACCUGCUUUAGCAACUUUGACAACAGUUUGACAACCAGCUGGGCAAAGUGGACCUGAAGACUCCGGGAACAACACACACAAACAUACCAAAGAUUCAGAAAGGGCAUCUGGGAGCGCAGUUCUGGUCAGCCUAUGUGCCGUGUGCCACUCAGUACAAAGAUGCCGUCAGACAGACCCUGGAGUAGAUUGACGUGAUCCACAGGAUGUGUCACAAAUACCCCGACUAUUUCAUGUUCGCCAGCAGCAGCCAAGACAUCAUGGCGGCGUUCGGUCGCAACAAGACGGCCAGUCUGAUCGGGGUGGAGGGAGGUCACUCCAUUGACAGCAGUCUGAGCACACUGCGGACCUUCUACCAGUUGGGGGUGCGAUACCUCACCCUCACACACUCCUGCAACACGCCCUGCGUAUGCUGUGUUGAGGAGAGUAAGGGACAUUCCUGCUGAGAUCUAGAAGAUCCUGUUGGUGGAGUCGGACAUGAACACCUGAUCAUCAGCGGAUACAAAUCAAGAUGCUUUCUUUGCCAGCUCAUUCAAAAGACUUACCGCACCACGGUGGGCAUCACCUCGCAGGCGAAGAAGACACUGAGCAUGGCCAGGGCCUGGGAGAAGAGCAGACCCAAGAUGGACAGCACCAAGACCAGGCCUCCUUGCAGGUCUGACAACACAAACAUGGCACACUUCAUCAUCCUCAUUCAUGACCUCAUGAUCAUACAUCAGAGGGACCCCUCAUU